rnacentral:rRNA from 1 species
CCUACGGGGGGCAGCAGUGGGGAAUAUUGCACAAUGGGCGAAAGCCUGAUGCAGCAACGCCGCGUGAGGGAUGACGGCCUUCGGGUUGUAAACCUCUUUUAGUAGGGAAGAAGGGAGCUUCGGUUCUUGACGGUACCUGCAGAAAAAGCACCGGCUAACUACGUGCCAGCAGCCGCGGUAAUACGUAGGGUGCAAGCGUUGUCCGGAAUUAUUGGGCGUAAAGAGCUCGUAGGCGGUUUGUCGCGUCUGCUGUGAAAUCCCGAGGCUCAACCUCGGGCUUGCAGUGGGUACGGGCAGACUAGAGUGCGGUAGGGGAGAUUGGAAUUCCUGGUGUAGCGGUGGAAUGCGCAGAUAUCAGGAGGAACACCGAUGGCGAAGGCAGAUCUCUGGGCCGUAACUGACGCUGAGGAGCGAAAGCAUGGGGAGCGAACA